AGAGGGCGCUGGAGGGCAAGGAGGCAAGCCUCCUCCAAGCCUGCUUCUCUAGUGUCUUCUUGCUUCCUCCAGAAGAGAAAAUGCAGGAUAUGGGCCGUUAUCUCUUCUUAAAAACCAUGGAAGCCAUGGACAACAUGCUGCAGGCAUUGGUGCUCGGCUCUUCAGCCUCCAGAGUCAGCGAGCUGCUCCAGAAUAUCUUCCAGAUGCUCUUGACCUUCACCACCUCUGAGAGAGAAUGUGUGCAGGAGAGGGCUGUGGGGAGGAUUGAGAAGAUGAGCUCUGCGCUAUUCAGACAUCCCACACUGGCGGUAAGGAGCCAGGCACCCUCCAGCCAGGCCGUCUCCCCAUCCCUGCACCCCAGAGCAGCCUGCAGCUGCCCCAUGCGGGGCUGCUGCCCAGGCA